rnacentral:misc_RNA from 1 species
CCCUGCACAGAGAUAGACACGCUUG